CCUACGGGUGGCAGCAGUGAGGAAUAUUGGUCAAUGGCCGGAAGGCUGAACCAGCCAAGCCGCGUGAAGGACGAAGGUGCCAAGCAUUGUAAACUUCUUUUGUCAAGGGACAAAAUCAGGCUCGAGAGCCUGACCGAGGGUACUUGAAGAAAAAGCAUCGGCUAACUCCGUGCCAGCAGCCGCGGUAAUACGGGGGAUGCGAGCGUUAUCCGGAUUUAUGGGGUUUAAAGGGUGCGUAGGCGGGCUGUUAAGUCAGCGGUAAAAGCCCGGGGCUCAACCCCGGCGAGCCGUUGAAACUGGCUGUCUUGAGAUGUCGAGAGGUAUGCGGAAUGCGCAGGGUCGCGGUGAAAUGCUUAGAUAUUGCGCAGAACUCCGAUUGCGAAGGCAGCAUACCGGCGGCGAUCUGACGCUGAGGCACGAAAGCGUGGGUAUCGAACAGGAUUAGAUACCCCAGUAGUC
rnacentral:rRNA from 1 species